UACGUAGGGGGCAAGCGUUGUCCGGAAUUAUUGGGCGUAAAGAGCGCGUAGGCGGUCCGAUAAGUCGGCUGUGAAAGUCAAGGGCUCAACCCUUGGAAGCCGGCCGAUACUGUCGGACUAGAGUCCGGAAGAGGCAAGUGGAAUUCCUGGUGUAGCGGUGAAAUGCGCAGAUAUCAGGAGGAACACCAAUGGCGAAGGCAGCACUCUGGGACGUGACUGACGCUGAGACGCGAAAGCGUGGGGAGCAAACAGG
rnacentral:rRNA from 1 species